GGUUUCGUGGUGUAGUUGGUUAUCACGUCAGUCUAACGCACUAAAGGUCAGGUCUCCGGUUCGAGUCCGACGAGGACG
rnacentral:tRNA from 11 species